rnacentral:tRNA from 1 species
GGGAAUAUGGCUUAGAGGUAGAGUGCUUGCCUAGCAUGCAUGAAGCCCUGGGUUCAUUUUCUCAGUACCG